rnacentral:rRNA from 1 species
UAUUGGUCAAUGGGCGCGAGCCUGAACCAGCCAAGUCGCGUGAGGGAAGACGGCCCUAUGGAUUGUAAACCUCUUUUGUCGGGGAGCAAAAGACGCCACGCGUGGCGUUCCGAGAGUACCCGAAGAAAAAGCAUCGGCUAACUCCGUGCCAGCCGCCGCGGUAAUACGGAGGAUGCGCGCGUUAUCCGGAUUUAUUGGGUUUAAAGGGUGCGCAGGCGGCGAGUUAAGUCAGCGGUAAAAUUUCGGGGCUCAACCCCGACAAGCCGUUGAAACUGGCUUGCUAGAGUGGGCGAGAAGUAUGCGGAAUGCGUGGUGUAGCGGUGAAAUGCAUAGAUAUCACGCAGAACUCCGAUUGCGAAGGCAGCAUACCGGCGCACAACUGACGCUCAGGCACGAAAGCGUGGGUAUCGAACAGG